AAGAACUUACCUGGUCUUGACAUCCACAGAACUUUCCAGAGAUGGAUUGGUGCCUUCGGGAACUGUGAGACAGGUGCUGCAUGGCUGUCGUCAGCUCAUGUUGUGAAAUGUUGGGUUAAGUCCCGCAACGAGCGCAACCCUUAUCCUUUGUUGCCAGCGGUCCGGCCGGGAACUCAAAGGAGACUGCCAGUGAUAAACUGGAGGAAGGUGGGAUGACGUCAAGUCAUCAUGGCCCUUACGACCAGGGCUACACACGUGCUACAAUGGCGCAUACAAAGAGAAGCGACCUCGCGAGAGCAAGCGGACCUCAUAAAGUGCGUCGUAGUCCGGAUUGGAGUCUGCAACUCGACUCCAUGAAGUCGGAAUCGCUAGUAAUCGUGGAUCAGAAUGCCACGGUGAAUACGUUCCCGGGCCUU
rnacentral:rRNA from 1 species